GACGAACGCUGGCGGCGUGCCUAAUACAUGCAAGUAGAACGCUGAAGGAGGAGCUUGCUCUUCUGGAUGAGUUGCGAACGGGUGAGUAACGCGUAGGUAACCUGCCUGGUAGCGGGGGAUAACUAUUGGAAACGAUAGCUAAUACCGCAUAACAGUAGAUGUUGCAUGACAUUUGCUUAAAAGGUGCAAUUGCACCACUACCAGAUGGACCUGCGUUGUAUUAGCUAGUUGGUGGGGUAACGGCUCACCAAGGCGACGAUACAUAGCCGACCUGAGAGGGGGAUCGGCCACACUGGGACUGAGACACGGCCCAGACUCCUACGGGAGGCAGCAGUAGGGAAUCGUCGGCAAGGGACGGAAGUCUGACCGAGCAACGCCGCGUGAGUGAAGAAGGUUUUCGGAUCGUAAAGCUCUGUUGUAAGAGAAGAACGAGUGUGAGAGUGGAAAGUUCACACUGUGACGGUAACUGACCAGAAAGGGACGGCUAACUACGUG
rnacentral:rRNA from 1 species